AUUGUUUUCAUAUAAAACACCGAGUGUUCCAUGCAAUCCAUGCCUUCCUUCAUACUCAUCACCAGGCUCAUUCAUCCUCCCAGCACCCUCCCUUCUAAAACCCUCAGUUUGUUUCCUGGAGUCUAUAGUCUCUCAUGGCUCA